AUGAAAAUCAUAAGUUGGAACUGCCGGGGACUCAGGAAUGGCCCAGCAGUUCGAUCUCUCCUCGAGUUGGGGCGAGUGGAGGAUCCUGAUGUCUUGUUUUUGUCUGAAACUAGGUUGUAUGAGAAGGAGUUGGAGUGGCUGAGGUGGAAGUUGGGCUUGGUUAAUCUCUCGGUGUGGAACCCGGAAGGCAAGAGCAGAGGUAUCGCUUUGUUCUGGCGGAGGGGGGUUGAU
rnacentral:rRNA from 1 species